rnacentral:tRNA from 1 species
GUCAGUUUGGCCGAGUGGUUAAGGCGAUAGACUCGAAUUAAUUGAUCGUUUCAGAUCAAGAUUGCAAUCUAUUGGGCUCUGCCCGCAUCGGUUCAAAUCCGAUAGCUGACG